rnacentral:lncRNA from 1 species
UCUGAAGAAAAAAAAAAGGCAAAAUCCUCUUAAUGAGGAUCUGGGACUGGCGUCGGAGCUCCGUCGAGCCUCCAUUCUCAAGCGUUCACGCGCCGUCACCAACUCCACCACACACGGCGGUUGGGAUUCGAAAAGCUUCGCUUUUCACAGCGAAUAAAAGCGAAUCUAAAAGGUAUUUCUCCUUCCUCUGUUUGUAAUGUACUAUAUGCAUGUUGUUUACAAUAAAGUAAAAGAGAAUAAAAAAAGUAGAGUAAGAACAAUCGAUCACCUUUGUUUCUCGCGAAAUAGUUCUGAUAUAUUAUUGCAAAAAAAUAUUUUGUAUACAAUCUUUUUUCCUCCCCUUUUUACAGAUUUGAGGAAAGGCUUUAUAGCCUUAAUCUACUGCUUACUUUGGAAAGAAAUCGAAAUAUUUCUUUCCAAAUCCUGUUCUAAUCCUUUUGCUACGAUUUUGCUUUGAUUUCUUUCCUUUUCUUGCAGGCGAAUCACUAGGAUUUCGUUCGAGCAUCCAUGACUACGCGCUGAUGAGGGGUUGAUGGGAACUGAAGAGGCGUGACUCUUGGGCUGAUUGCGACGCUGCGGCGCGAGGGUUUCCCAGGAAACCGUAAGUCUCCUGAUGUUUCCAGUUUGGGCUUUGUUGGGAUACUGCUUGUUGGGUUUGGGUGUAGACGGGUUUUGGGUAGUUCUGCUGGGUUAAGGGUUAAUGGGCUAUAAUAUUGGGUUGUAAUAGGGUAUAAGGUUUAAACAGGCUAAUUUUGGCCCUACAGGCUGUUGUAAAUGGACUGUUUUAAAAACAUUCAUUUAUUAUUACUACUUUUUAAGGCCCGGACAAAUUUGGGCUAUUA